rnacentral:misc_RNA from 1 species
AUCCCCAUUACUGGAACUGGUAUUAACCCAGCAAGGAGCUUUGGAGCUGCAGUUAUUUACGGCAACGAAAAAAUCUGGGAUGACCAAUGGAUAUUCUGGGUUGGACCCAUGGUGGGAGCAAUGGCAGCAGCAAUAUACCAUCAGUUUAUAUUGAGAGCUGGAGCUGUAAAAGCUUUGGGAUCAUUCCGCAGCAACCAAACCAACUAAACAAGUUAUCAACUUUCAUUCACAAGUUCAAAUUUUUCUGGCUUAAUUGUUUGAUUUUGUGUAUGAGGAUUAAUUAAUUAAUGUAUGAA